rfam:Homo sapiens chromosome 10, GRCh38 reference primary assembly.
GCUGGGCGCGGUGGCGCACGCCUGUAAUCCCAGCUACUCAGGAGGCUGAGGUAGGAGAAUCGCUUGAACCCGGGAGGUGGAGGUUGCAGUGAGCCAAAAUUGUGCCACUGCACUCCACCCUGGGCGACAGAGCAAGACUCCAUCUCAA